rnacentral:misc_RNA from 1 species
GAUGAAGAACGUGGCGAAAUGCGAUACGUAAUGUGAAUUGCAGAAUUCAGUGAAUCAUCGAGUCUUUGAACGCACAUUGCGCCCCCUGGUAUUCCGGGGGGCAUGCCUGUCCGAGCGUCAUUGCUGCCCUCAAGCACGGCUUGUGUGUUGGGCCUCCGUCCUCCUCCCGGGGGACGGGCCCGAAAGGCAGCGGCGGCACCGCGUCCGGUCCUCGAGCGUAUGGGGCUUCGUCACCCGCUCUUGUAGGCCCGGCCGGCGCUUGCCGACACAUCAAUCUUUUUUCCAGGUUGACCUCGGAUCAGGUAGGGAUACCCGCUGAACUUAAGCAUAUCAAUAAGCGGAGGA